rnacentral:rRNA from 1 species
AGGAAAAGAAACCAACAGGGAUUGCCCUAGUAACGGCGAGUGAAGCGNGCASCAGCUCARAUUUGAAAUCUGGCGUAAGCCCGAGUUGUAAUUUGUAGAGGAUGCUUCUGGGUAGCGGCCGGUCUAAGUUCCUUGGAACAGGACGUCAUAGAGGGUGAGAAUCCCGUAUGUGACUGGCUUGCACCCUCCACGUAGCUCCUUCGACGAGUCGAGUUGUUUGGGAAUGCAGCUCUAAAUGGGAGGUAAAUUUCUUCUAAAGCUAAAUACCGGCCAGAGACCGAUAGCGCACAAGUAGAGUGAUCGAAAGAUGAAAAGCACUUUGGAAAGAGAGUUAAAAAGCACGUGAAAUUGUUGAAAGGGAAGCGCCCGCAACCAGACUUUGCGGCGGUGUUCGGCUGGUCUUCUGACCGGUUUACUCGCCGCCGUGAGGCCAUCAUCGUCUGGGACCGCUGGAUAAGACCUGAGGAAUGUAGCUCCCUUCGGGGUGUGUUAUAGCCUCUGGUGAUGCAGCGCGUCUCGGGCGAGGUCCGCGCUUCGGCAAGGAUGAUGGCGUAAUGGUUGUCGGCGGCCC